rnacentral:rRNA from 1 species
GACGAACGCUGGCGGCGUGCCUAAUACAUGCAAGUCGAACGAAGCCUUUUUAACUGGUGCUUGCACCGACUUAAACAACUGAGUGGCGAACGGGUGAGUAACACGUGGGUAACCUGCCCCAAAGCGGGGGAUAACAUUUGGAAACAGAUGCUAAUACCGCAUAACCACAGAAACCACAUGGUGUCUGUGUCAAAGAUGGUUUCGGCUACCACUUUGGGAUGGACCCGCGGCGUAUUAGCUAGUUGGUAAGGUAAUGGCUUACCAAGGCAAUGAUACGUAGCCUAACGGAGAGGUUGAUCGGCCACAUUGGGACUGAGACACGGCCCAAACUCCUACGGGAGGCAGCAGUAGGGAAUCUUCCACAAUGGACGAAAGUCUGAUGGAGCAACGCCGCGUGAGUGAAGAAGGUUUUCGGAUCGUAAAACUCUGUUGUCAGAGAAGAACGUGUGCGAGAGUAACUGUUCGUGCAGUGACGGUAUCUGGCCAGAAAGCCACGGCUAACUACGUGCCAGCCGCCGCCGUAA